rnacentral:rRNA from 1 species
UUGGGCACUUUUAAUGGGACUGCCGGUGACAAACCGGAGGAAGGUGGGGAUGACGUCAAGUCCUUCAUGGCCCUUAAUGGCCAGGGCUUUCACACGUAAUACAAUGGUCGGUACAGAGGGUAAGCCAACCCGCGAGGGGGAGCCAAUCCCAGAAAGCCGAUCGUAGUCCGGAUUGCAGUCUGCAACUCGACUGCAUGAAGUCGGAAUCGCUAGUAAUCGCGGAUCAGCAUGUCGCGGUGAAUACGUUCCCGGGCCUUGUACACACCGCCCGUCACACCAUGGGAGUGGGUUCCACCAGAAGUAGGUAGUCUAACCGCAAGGGGGACGCUUACCACGGUGGGGUUCAUGACUGGGGUGAAGUCGUAACAAGGUAGCCGUAA